UGUGACCUGCGGAAGGAUCAUUG
rnacentral:rRNA from 1 species